rnacentral:sRNA from 1 species
GUUUGCACUCAUCGGGGAAGAGUGAGAACCUUCGACUAAGGUUCGAUUCGAGCGAAAGCGAGAGAACGUUGCCACAGGCAACGGCCCGAAGGGUGAGGAGCGAAGCGACGAAUAAUCCUUCCCCCACCACCA